rnacentral:misc_RNA from 1 species
GCACAUUUUUAUUGUUCUUCUAGUCCAAACGAGAAGAACAUUUAUUUACACAUAAUUGGAAGUACAAAUACCCACACCAAUACAGAAUUGUACAAAACUUCGACUUUUAAUCUCAGCCUCAAGGCAUCAACUUCGACCGUUAAGACAAAAACCUUUAUAACCAGUUAAACUAGUACAAACACAAUGCAUUCAAACAACCAUGAUAACAAUCAAUCAGCCAGUACAAAUAAAAUCACAUGAAGGCUAGUAGUUUACAAUACAUGAGAGGAACAAAUUAAGUAAGAUCAUCUUCCUCAAGCUCCUUCGCCUUCAAUGUUUCCUUGACUCUUAGAAGUAGUGUUGUCCUCCAAGCAUCCAGUUGUGU